rnacentral:rRNA from 1 species
GCCUACGGCCAUACCACCCUGGAAACGCCCGAUCUCGGAAGCUAAGCAGGGUCGGGCCUGGUUAGUACUUGGAUGGGAGACCUCCUGGGAAUACCGGGUGCCAUAGGCU